rnacentral:lncRNA from 1 species
AUUUCUUUAAAAGUAUUGUUAAGAAAUGGGUCGAGGCAAUCAAGAGUGCAAGAAAAUAUGUUUAAAUACCUGAAAAACACAGGAACAAUAGAUAGAAUCUAGUUUUUUUUUUUUUUCCCUUCUGUAUUUCUUUCUUCCCAAUUUAUGCACACUCCACACUCCAGAUCAGUAGGUGGCGGUAAUGCACCUGGUUUGCAAAACCGCCAUAAAACACCAGAAGAAGAAGAGUUAGGAGUUGAGUGUGAGUAGUCAGGGAGUUUGUAUAGUGUUUUUUCGAGUUAUUGCAUGCUUUUCAUAACUGGUUGGAGCGAUUUGUUUUUGGACAAUGGCUUCAAGAACUUUUUUUUUUGGUGUGUAGGCUGUUUUGAAGGGGCUUGAUCGGCUGAGUGACACUGAAACUUGUAGCAAUGAUAGCUUCGACUCGGUCAGACAAGCUGCUUACGACGCUGGAGAAGAUCCUUCCUGAGUUUGAUCUAGACUCCAGUGUUGAAGAAUUGCUGCCAAGCACCAGCAAGGAGGUUGUUUGCCUACCCCCCACCUCCAAGACCCCCACACCUACUGCUGGUGAUACUGUGAGGCCACAGCCAAUUCCUGUGCUUGGUGCCAUCUAGAAACUGUUUUAGAAAAUGGCACACUGAUGGACACUCUUGAGAAAGAUUGCAACCGAUGAAAACUGUUGACAAAGCAACAAACAAAAACUAAAAGUUGGCCUCCAUUUUUUUUCUAUAGCAACUUAUUGACAUUUUUUAUAGUUGUUAUAUUCUGUAUAUAGUUAUUUUACAUAUUAGAUUUGUAUAUUGUGUUUUUGCACUGCUUUUUGCACAUUUUUCUCUAUAUAUUUGAUUUAUUUUCUUGGAGUUUAUUAUCUUGUGCAUAAUAAAAUGCAAGAACUGCUACUUACUCUCAUUUUGCUUAGGUAUAUAAUACACAACAUGGGUCAAGUUAGGUGAUAAAGUGUUGGAUCAUUCUCUUGUCAAGUGUAAAGCAUAGUAAAAAGUGUUUUACAGGUAAUAAGCCUGUUUUUGAAUAAUUUGUGUUUAUGGAUGAAAAUGGGAGACUUCAGAAAAGACAUUGCCUCCCUUCAGUUAAAGCUCAAUAACUUUUGUGAAGGUUAUAAAAGGAUAAAGCUUUUUUUCUCUAUUUACU